rnacentral:rRNA from 1 species
GACGAACGCUGGCGGCGUGCCUAAUACAUGCAAGUAGAACGCUGAAGGAGGAUCUUGCUUCUCCGGAUGAAUUGCGAACGGGUGAGUAACGCGCACGUGACCUGCCUGGCACCGGGGGAUAACUAUUGGAAACGAUAGCUGAUACCGCAUAAUAAUACAUGUUGCGUGACAUUUGCUUAACAGGUGCAAUUGCAUCCCUACCAGAGGGACCUGCGUUGGAUUAGCUCGCUGGCGGGGUAACGGCUCACCGAGGGAACGACUCCUAACCGACCUGAGAGGGUGAUCGGCCACACUGGGACUGAUACCCCGGCCACACUCCUACGGGAGGCAGUCCUACGGAAUCUUCGGCAAUGGACGGAAGUCUGACCGAGCAACGCCGCGUGAGUGAACAACGUUUUCGGAUCGUAAAGCUCUGUUGUAAGAGAACAACGAGUGUGAGAGUGGAAAGUUCACACUGUGACGGUAUCUUACCAGAAAGGGACGGCUAACUACCUGCCAGCUACCGCGGUAAUACGUAGGUCCCGAGCGUUGUCCGGAUUUAUUGGGCGUAUAGCGAGCGCAGGUGGUUAGAUAAGUCUGAAGUUAAAGGCUGUGGCUUAACCAAAGUACGCUUUGGAAACUGUUUAACUUGAGUGCAACAGGGGAGAGUGGAAUUCCAUGUGUAGCGGCGAAAUGCUGUAGAUAUAUGGAGGAACACCGGUGGCGAAAGCGGCUCUCUGGCUUGUAACUGACGCUCAGGCUCGAAAGCGUGGGGAGCAAACAGGAUUAGAUACCCUGGUAGUCCACGCCGUAAACGAUGAGUGCUAGGUGUUAGACCCUUUCCGGGGUGUAGUGCCGCACCUAACGCAUUAAGCACUCCGCCUGGGGAGUAACGACUCGCAAGGUUGAAACUCAAAGGAAUUGACGGGGGCCCGCACAAGCGGUGGAGCAUGUGGUUUAAUUCGAAGCAACGCGAAGAACCUUACCAUGUCUUGACAUCCCUCUGAUCGCUCUAGAGAUAAAGUUUUCCUUCGGGACAGAGGUCACAGGUGGCGCAUGGUUGUUGUCAGCUCGUGUCGAGAGAUGUUGCGUUAAAUCCCGCAACAAGCGCAACCCCUAUUGUUAGCUGUCAUCAUUCAGUUGGGCACUCUAGCGAGACUGCCCGUAAUAAACCGGAGGAAGGUGGGGAGGACGUCAAAUCAUCAUGCCCCUUAUGACCUGGGCUACACACGUGUUCCAAGGGCUGGUCCAACGAGUCGCAAGCCGGGGGCGGCAAGGUAAUCCUCUUAAACCCAGUUUCAGUUGGGAUUGUAGGCUGCAAUUCGCCCACAGGAAGUGGGAAUCGUUAGUAAUCGAGGAUCAGCACGCCGCGGUGAAUACGUUCCCGGGCCU